rnacentral:rRNA from 1 species
UGUGAAGAAGGCCUUCGGGUUGUAAAGCACUUUUGUCCGGAAAGAAAACGUCUUGGUUAAUACCCGAGGCGGAUGACGGUACCGGAAGAAUAAGCACCGGCUAACUACGUGCCAGCAGCCGCGGUAAUACGUAGGGUGCGAGCGUUAAUCGGAAUUACUGGGCGUAAAGCGUGCGCAGGCGGUCUGUUAAGACCGAUGUGAAAUCCCCGGGCUUAACCUGGGAACUGCAUUGGUGACUGGCAGGCUUUGAGUGUGGCAGAGGGGGGUAGAAUUCCACGUGUAGCAGUGAAAUGCGUAGAGAUGUGGAGGAAUACCGAUGGCGAAGGCAGCCCCCUGGGCCAACACUGACGCUCAUGCACGAAAGCGUGGGGAGCAAACAGGAUUAGAUACCCUGGUAGUCCACGCCCUAAACGAUGUCAACUAGUUGUUGGGGAUUCAUUUCCUUAGUAACGUAGCUAACGCGUGAAGUUGACCGCCUGGGGAGUACGGUCGCAAGAUUAAAACUCAAAGGAAUUGACGGGGACCCGCACAAGCGGUGGAUGAUGUGGAUUAAUUCGAUGCAACGCGAAAAACCUUACCUACCCUUGACAUGGUCGGAAUCC